CCUGUCCUUAGAGGCUUUGCAGAUGGGGCUGCUAUGUCAAAUAUGUGUCAAUAGGUGGCAGAGAGGAGAGAGGCUAGGUCUCUAUUCAUCGUUCUGAUCUAUGAACUUCUGAAUGAACAUCUGAAUAUUAAUAGCCUAACAUU
rnacentral:snoRNA from 1 species